CAAUUGUUGCUUUUUUUUCCACUUUUAUAAUCACAAUUUAUUGCUUGAAUUGGAUAUUUUUGUUAGAUUGCCAUGGAUUCUUGAUUUGGAUAUUGUCAAAUGGCAGAAAUUGAAGUUCUUUCUUUUGUUUAUGCAUGAGUUAGAGUUAACCUAAAACUUUCCAUAUAAGCACAAUAUAAAAAAACACAGUACUCAACUGUAGAUCUAGUCGUUUUCAAUGUGUUUUUUGCACUUAAAUAGCUCAAAGGUUGGAUGAAUCCUAAGCCAAGGCCAACCAAUUUAAAGACCAAUAAAAAUUUGCUUAUACAAACUUAGAAGUGAAACGAGCUCUAAAACUUCACAUUUCUAUAUUAAAAAUGAUAAUAAAAAAAAAGGCCACAUCAUUUCAUUGCACUUCAAAAAGCACUCAAUCUCUAUGACCAAGUUUCUGUUUAGCAUUGAUGUGUCAAGGCCAAAAUUGCAAGCACCAUUUUAGAUGCAUUAAAAAAAAAAAGUUUGAAAUUUUAGUGUUCUAAUAACUAAAAUUUAUCAAAUUUAA
rnacentral:misc_RNA from 1 species